rnacentral:rRNA from 1 species
AGUUUGAUCCUGGCUCAGGACGAACGCUGGCGGCGUGCUUAACACAUGCAAGUCGAGCGGAAAGNCCCUUCGGGGUACUCGAGCGGCGAACGGGUGAGUAACACGUGAGUAAUCUGCCCCAGGCUCUGGGAUAGCCACCGGAAACGGUGAUUAAUACCGGAUACGACAACCGAUUGCAUGAUCUGGUUGUGGAAAGUUUUUCGGCCUGGGAUGUGCUCGCGGCCUAUCAGCUUGUUGGUGAGGUAAUGGCUCACCAAGGCUUCGACGGGUAGCCGGCCUGAGAGGGUGACCGGCCACACUGGGACUGAGACACGGCCCAGACUCCUACGGGAGGCAGCAGUGGGGAAUAUUGGACAAUGGGCGGAAGCCUGAUCCAGCAACGCCGCGUGAGGGAUGACGGCUUCGGGUUGUAAACCUCUUUCAGCACAGACGAAGCGAAAGUGACGGUAUGUGCAGAAGAAGGACCGGCNAACUACGUGCCAGCAGCCGCGGUAAUACGUAGGGUCCGAGCGUUGUCNGGAAUUAUUGGGCGUAAAGGGCUCGUAGGCGGUCUGUCGCGUCGGGAGUGAAAACCAGGUGCUUAACACCUGGCCUGCUUUCGAUACGGGCAGACUAGAGGUACUCAGGGGAGAAUGGAAUUCCUGGUGUAGCGGUGAAAUGCGCAGAUAUCAGGAGGAACACCGGUGGCGAAGGCGGUUCUCUGGGAGUAUCCUGACGCUGAGGAGCGAAAGUGUGGGGAGCGAACAGGAUUAGAUACCCUGGUAGUCCACACNGUAAACGUUGGGCGCUAGGUGUGGGACACAUUCCACGUGUUCCGUGCCGCAGCUAACGCAUUA